UGGGGAAUAUUGGACAAUGGGCGAAAGCCUGAUCCAGCCAUGCCGCGUGGAUGAUGACGGCCCUAGGGUUGUAAAGUCCUUUCGACGGGGAAGAUAAUGACGGUACCCGUAGAAGAAGCCCCGGCUAACUUCGUGCCAGCAGCCGCGGUAAUACGAAGGGGGCUAGCGUUGCUCGGAAUCACUGGGCGUAAAGCGCACGUAGGCGGCUUUCUAAGUCAGGGGUGAAAUCCUGGAGCUCAACUCCAGAACUGCCUUUGAUACUGGAGAGCUUGAGUUCGGGAGAGGUGAGUGGAACUGCGAGUGUAGAGGUGAAAUUCGUAGAUAUUCGCAAGAACACCAGUGGCGAAGGCGGCUCACUGGCCCGAUACUGACGCUGAGGUGCGAAAGCGUGGGGAGCAAACAG
rnacentral:rRNA from 1 species